AGGACGAACGCUGGCGGCGUGCUUAACACAUGCAAGUCGAGCGGAAAGGCCCUUCGGGGUACUCGAGCGGCGAACGGGUGAGUAACACGUGAGCAAUCUGCCCUUAGCUCCGGGAUAGCUCCGGGAAACCGGAUUAAUACCGGAUACGACCACAGCCGACAUCUGCUGUGGUGGAAAGGAUUCCGGCUAAGGAUGGGCUCGCGGCCUAUCAGCUAGUUGGUGGAGUAACGGCCCACCAAGGCGACGACGGGUA
rnacentral:rRNA from 1 species